rnacentral:lncRNA from 1 species
AAUCAUAACCAAAAACCUUUAAUUUGUGCUCUAUUCAUUUUUUUUUCUUUUUACCAGGAAAAGUUUACGGGCUUAGUUCGAAGCAUUAGAAAAGUUGGCUCCGACUUAAUUAACAAGAGUCGGAAGUCUGCACAUGAUGAUGGUGCUAAGCGAGGGACAGACUCGGAUACAAGCCUGGAAGAUGUCCGUUCACGGCAAGGAGAUACCCUAAGUUGCCUUGGGACGCCCGGUACACGGCGAGCUGUUUAUUACUCAGCUGAUGAGAACAACUCAGGCUCAAAUGAGCCAGAUGAUAGCACAAAACCUAGCAAAAACGAGAAUGAUAAUCAAAGAACGGAUACGCCUCAGCAAGAUCAAGGUUUGUUUGUGUACAAUCACGUCUCUGUAAUUAACCAGUCUCCAUCGCACAGUCCGAAUUUAUCGCAGCAGAAUUCGAAAAAGUCAUCUCCGGCGGAGGAUAAAAACUCGCCCCUGUGCUGCUUUGUAAUCACCACUCAAUUUUCGGACAUCCUUCUCAAGGACAUCAUGAAUGCGCUCUUCAGUCGCUGA